UACGGGGGGGGCAAGCGUUGUUCGGAAUUACUGGGCGUAAAGGGCUCGUAGGUGGCCAACUAAGUCGGACGUGAAAUCCCUCGGCUUAACCGGGGAACUGCGUCCGAUACUGGUUGGCUUGAGUUUGGGAGAGGGAUGCGGAAUUCCAGGUGUAGCGGUGAAAUGCGUAGAUAUCUGGAGGAACACCGGUGGCGAAGGCGGCAGCCUGGACCAAUACUGACGCUGAGGAGCGAAAGCCAGGGGAGCAAACGGG
rnacentral:rRNA from 1 species